AUCGAACGCUGGCGGCAGGCCUAACACAUGCAAGUAGAGCGGAGCGGCGGACGGGAGAGUAAUGCAUAGGAAUCUGCCUGGUAGCGGGGAUAGCGUCCGGAAACGGGAGCUAAUACCGCAUACUAUCAGAUGAGCCUAGGUCGGAUUAGCUAGUUGGUGUGUUAAAGGCCUACCAGGGCGCCGAUCCGUAACUGGUCUGAGAGGAUGACCAGCCACCCGGGAACUGAGACACGGCCCAGUCUCCUACGGGAGGCAGCAUUGGGGAAGAUUGGACAAGGGGCGAAAGCCUGAUCCAGCUCUGCCGCGUGUGGGAGGAAGUUCUUCGGAUUGUAAGGCACUUUAAGUUGGGAGGCGGUACCAACAGAAUAAGCACCGGCUAACUUCGUGCCAGCAGCCGCGGUAAUAC
rnacentral:rRNA from 1 species